rnacentral:rRNA from 1 species
GAUGAACGCUAGCGGCAGGCCUAAUACAUGCAAGUCGAACGGUGUCUUCGGACAUAGUGGCGCACGGGUGCGUAACACGUAUGCAACCUACCUUACAUUGGGGGAUAGCCUUUCGAAAGGGAGAUUAAUACCGCAUAAGACAGUAGCUGGGCAUCCAGCAGCUGUUAAAGAUUUAUCGAUGUAAGCUGGGCAUGCGUCCAAUUAGCUAGUUGGUGAGGUAACGGCUCACCAAGGCAAUGAUUGGUAGGGGAACUGAGAGGUCAAUCCCCCACACUGGCAGUGAGGUACGGGCCAGACGCCUACGGGAGGCAGCAGUAGGGAAUAUUGGGCAAUGGACGCAAGUCUGACCCAGCCAUGCCGCGUGCAGGAUGAAGGCGUUAUGCGUUGUAAACUGCUUGUAUACAGGAAGAAACGACUCUUGCGGGAGGCAUUGACGGUACUGUAUGAAUAAGCACCGGCUAACUCCGUGCCAGCAGCCGCCGUAAGAC